rnacentral:rRNA from 1 species
UCUUUGACCUCGGAUCAGGUAGGGAUACCCGCUGAACUUAAGCAUAUCAAUAAGCGGAGGAAAAGAAACCAACAGGGAUUGCCCUAGUAACGGCGAGUGAAGCGGCAACAGCUCAAAUUUGAAAUCUGGCUCUCUUUGGGAGUCCGAGUUGUAAUUUGCAGAGGAUGCUUUGGCAUUGGCGGCGGUCUAAGUUCCUUGGAACAGGACAUCACAGAGGGUGAGAAUCCCGUACGUGGUCGCCUGCCUUUGCCGUGUAAAGCUCCUUCGACGAGUCGAGUUGUUUGGGAAUGCAGCUCUAAAUGGGAGGUAAAUUUCUUCUAAAGCUAAAUACUGGCCAGAGACCGAUAGCGCACAAGUAGAGUGAUCGAAAGAUGAAAAGUACUUUGGAAAGAGAGUCAAAAAGCACGUGAAAUUGUUGAAAGGGAAGCGCUUGCAGCCAGACUUGCCCGCAGUUGCUCACCUAGGCUUUGGCCUGGGGCACUCUUCUGCGGGCAGGCCAGCAUCAGUUUGGGCGGUUGGAUAAAGGCCUCUGUCACGUAUCUCCCUUCGGGGAGACCUUAUAGGGGAGGCGUAAUGCAACCAGCCCGGACUGAGGUCCGCGCAUCUGCUAGGAUGCUGGCGUAAUGGCUGUAAGCGGCCCGUCUUGAAACACGGACCAAGGAGUCUAACAUCUAUGCGAGUGUUUGGGUGUCAAGCCCGAGCGCGCAAUGAAAGUGAACGGAGGUGGGAACCCUUUGGGUGCACCAUCGACCGAUCCUGAUGUCUUCGGAUGGAUUUGAGUAAGAGCAUAGCUGUUGGGACCCGAAAGAUGGUGAACUAUGCUUGAAUAGGGUGAAGCCAGAGGAAACUCUGGUGGAGGCUCGCAGCGGUUCUGACGUGCAAAUCGGUCGUCAAAUUUGGGCAUAGGGGCGAAGGACUAAUCGAACCAUCUAGUAGCUGGUUCCUGCCGAAGUUUCCCUCUGGAUAGCAGAAACUCAUAUCAAAUUUAUGUGGUAAAGCGAAUGAUUAAAGGCCUUG